UCCGGUCCCCAAUCCGAUUAUUUACCCCCCUGAAUUUAAGCUUACCACUUAACCGAGGAAAAAAAACUAACCGGGUUUUCCCAAGUAAAGGAGAUUGAACCGAGUAAAGCCCAGCACCGCAUCCAUACCUGUCACCCUAACCGCAACUGUGCUGUGUGGCACGCCCCCUGUCGCAUGGGAGGGCGCCAAACUCCUCCUGAGGGGGGCUGGCCCCAAAGCGGGUGUAAUGCCUUUGCAGGUGCCUAUGGGUGUUGCGGCUACCGUUUUAUGAGUCGGGUUGUUUGGGAAUGCACCGCAAGUCGGGUGGUGCACUCCAUCUCACGCUAAAUACUUGCUCAAGU
rnacentral:rRNA from 1 species